rnacentral:lncRNA from 1 species
AUGGUAUCAGAGCUUAGUGCCUGUAUUAAGCACAGUUCUUUUAAAUUUUUACUAACCUACCCUUACAAUAGCCACCCUAAAUACUGCCAAUGAUAUACUGACCCUCCAAAGCUCAGACAAGCCUGGAAUGCAACUAGUCUCUGCACCCCUUGAUGGCUCCAAUUAUCUCUUCUAGAGUCGAGCCAUGAUGAUUGCUCUAAGAGCUGAAGAUAAGUUAGCUCUCGUUGAUGGCAUAUUCGAAAAACCAAUUCCCAACACAGCGGAGUAUGAAAGGUGGCAAAAGGCUGACAGCAUGGUGGUGUCCUGGAUCCUCAACUCAAUGACCAAAGAACUAGCCAGCGCCUUCCUGUACACCACAUCUGCAUAAAAUUUGUAGGAUGAAAUCAAGGAAAGGUACGGAGAAAGCAAUGGUUCUCUGCUCUAUCAAUUGAAACGAGAAAUUAGCUCAAUUACUCAAUCAAGCCUUUCAGUUGUUGCUUGUUUUACAAAACUAAAGAAACUUUGGGAUGAACUAAGUUACUUAAGACCAUUACCUACGUGUACCUACAACGUUGUUAACCUGUAUAACGAAAUAGACAGUACAAAAAACUUAAUCCAAUUUAUGAUGGGUCUUAAUGAUACAUAUGAUCAUAUAAGGAAUCAAAUCUUGAUUAUGGAACCAUUACCCAAUGUCGACAAAGCUUACUCAAUGGUGCUCAGUGUUGGGAGGAAAGGAGAAGUGCAGAUCAACGAUGCAGCCGAGGGGAUGUCAACUGUUUUCUAUGCCAACCAAAAGGAAACCUUGAGGCCACAGAACCGAAGAAGGAAAAAAGACAACAGAAUAUGCACUCAUUGCAAGAGUACACGACACACUAGGGACAAGUGCUUUAAACUCCAUGGCUAUCUGAAUGGUUCAUUGAACUCAAAGGAAAAAAAGGAAAAGAAAAGGCAAAUGCUAUUUCAAAUGGAAAUUCCACAAUUAAAGGGGAAACAAUGACCACAUCAAGUUGGAAUGCAGAAAUGACUAAUAUCAU